rnacentral:rRNA from 1 species
AUUGCACGCUGGCGGCAGGCCUAACACAUGCAAGUCGAACGAGUGGCGGACGGGUGAGUAAUGUCUGGGAAACUGCCCGAUGGCGGGGGAUAACUACUGGACACAGUCGCUCAUACCGCAUACCAUCGGAUGUGCCCAGAUGGGAUUAGCUAGUAGGUGGGGUAACGGCUCACCUAGGCGACGAUCCCUAGCUGGUCUGAGAGGAUGACCAGCCACACUGGAACUGAGAAACGGUCCAGACGCCUACGGGAGGCAGCAGUGGGUAAUAUUGCACAAUGGGCGAAAUCCUGAUGCAGCCAUGCCGCGUGGAUGAAGAAGGCCUUCGGGUUGUAAAGUACUUUCAGCGAGGAGGCGUUACUCGCAGAAGAAGCACCGGCGAACUCCGUGCCAGCAGCCGCGGUAAUAC